rnacentral:tRNA from 1 species
GUGGGUGUAGCUCAGUGGUAGAGUGUGUGCUUAGCACGCACGAGGUCCUGGGUUCAAUCCCCAGUACCCCCA